rnacentral:rRNA from 1 species
UAGGGAAUCUUCCACAAUGGACGAAAGUCUGAUGGAGCAACGCCGCGUGAGUGAAGAAGGGUUUCGGCUCGUAAAACUCUGUUGUUAAAGAAGAACAUAUCUGAGAGUAACUGUUCAGGUGUUGACGGUAUUUAACCAGAAAGCCACGGCUAACUACGUGUCAG